UGAAGCUGGAAUCGCUAGUAAUCGCGGAUCAGAAUGCCGCGGUGAAUACGUUCCCGGGUCUUGUACACACCGCCCGUCACACCAUGGGAGUCGGAAAUGCCCGAAGUCUGUGACCCAACCCUGAGAGGGAGGGAGCAGCCGAAGGCAGGUCUGAUGACUGGGGGUGAAGUCGUAACAAGGUAAC
rnacentral:rRNA from 1 species